UAAAAUGCUGUAAAACCUUGGAAAGUAAUUUUAUUCAUUGCAUUUUUUGACGAAUGCGAUUGCGUGAUUAAUAAAAUGGUAACACUACGACUUGCUAUGAAAAAAAAUUUCAUCCGCGUUUUCGUACUGUUCAUUUUGUGGCGUUAUAGUUUCAAAGUGUUCAAUUGUUGUUUCCUCCUUGAAUUACCCUACCUGGCCUGAAAUUUGAUACUGCUGCUUGCUUCCACAUCCGACCCGGCGAUCCUAAGGACCUGUGUUUCUGCUUAUUGUACCCUACCUGACCUGAAGUUGGACACUGCAACUUGCUUGCAUAUUCGACCUGGCGCAACUCACGGACUCCGAGACUCCUCCACGUGUUACGUACGAAAGUUAAAAAACAUGCCAAAUAAUCCUAAAUGCUAUUUUGGACGUACGGGUGGCGGGACACUGCACCAAUUUCCCGAUAGGGCCAAAGACCGACAAACCGAACGAUUUAAGAAGUGGAAAACGGUGCUUUUACCAGACGCCCAACAAAAAGGCAAUGCAUACAUAUUUAAUAUGAUUCGUCUAUGUAAGACAUUUUGAAGACUGUUACAAAUCCAAGACCAGUCACCGACUAACAAGAAAUGCUGUUCCAACAUUACAUCUAGAACAAACUUCUGCACCAACAACAUUAAAUGUGACCACUGCAGCUAAUCCUGAGGUAUCUCCAAGUUGUUCACAAAAUGGGCAAGGAAUGCAGUCUAUCGAGCAAAUGUCUUCAGCUUUAAUUGAAGAGCCUGAACCAGAGACUUCUACAAGUCAACAGAAAAA